rnacentral:sRNA from 1 species
CUUCCCUCGCCGCCUCCUGGCCUUCGCACCGACGCGGCCCGGGCUGGAGCCGAGCCGGGGCCGAGCUGCAGGCCGAUCCGGAGCCGGAUCCGUACCCGCAGAGACGUGGAAACAUGGAGGCCUGAGCCGGUGUGCGCCACCUGGGGCUGCGGCGGCGACAGCGACUUCUCCUGACCCCUCUGCCACCCGCCCGUCCGUCCGCCGGUCUGUGGAACUGGAGCUGAUCCCCCCGCCGGCUGAGACAGGCUGUCUUUUGGAAAUGCAGGUUUAAGGACAAACUAUCUGCUUAAGCUAGAAGAUGGGAUCGAAUAGCAGCAGAAUUGGCGAUCUUCCUAAAAAUCAGUACUUGAAAAAGUUAUCAGGCACGGAAUCCAUCUCUGAGAAUGACCCGUUCUGGAAUCAGCUUCUCUCGUUUUCUUUCCCUGCACCAACUAGCAGAGUUUCACUCUUGUUGCCCAGGCUGGAGUACAGUGGUGUGAUCUUGGCUCACCACAACCUCCGCCUCCCGGGAUUAAGUGAUUCUUCUGCUUCAGCCUCCCAAGUAGCUGAGAUU